UGAUCUGCUGCUGUGCUAAUGGAGUUCGUCUCCGGAGGAGGUGCUGCAGGGCUAGUAGCAGCAAGCGUGUUCCUCUGUAGUCUGUAGAGUUUUCUCUGUUGGGUGCACGCCUCUCGUUUAGGAUGGGGCUGUACGCUCUGUGUGAUUUACUUGUGCGUGUUUUUUUUCUUGUUGUUAUUUUUAGAUACUGGUACUACAUUUCAGAGUUCAGCUAGUGAGUCUUAGCAAACAGCAAGGUCGAUUCCUUUAGGGCUAAUGCUAGUGGACUAGAUCUUGGUUUGCUGCUGUUGGACUGUGCUAUGCUGCCUGCAGAAUGUUGUUAGUCAAGGGACACUUUACUCUUACAUCCAAGUAAAAGCCUUUCAACUAUAGCUAUAAUACCUGACAAGACAAAUAGUUCAGUGCUUUUCGAAAGCUAACUGCAGCCUAGAUUGAUAGGAACUACGGCGUUGAACUUAAACUUAAGGGGAGAAAAAUCUUUAGUUGGCGCAGAAAAUGUUGAAAGCCAAAGCCUCCAAGAAAAUGUGAUGGAGCACCAGAGAGCCUAGGGUGUUUUGGAUCGUAAAUGAUUUCAUGAUGCCCAGGUCUCAUUGAACUGGACUUGGGGCCUAAUAAUCUAAGCCCUUACUUGUUCACAUAUUUGUUGGUUGCUUUUUUGUUUACACUUGGAAGUUCACUAAGGAAAAUCCACAAGUUCACUAUGUGAAACAUUGCAGCCCACUCUGAAAAAAGAUUGGAAAAGCAGAGGAGUUUAAAUAAAACACAAGAAUGAAACAUUGCAGUUGUAUUCUAGUAUUAUGGUUAAUAGGUAAUGGCAGUUCCUUGACAUACUCUUUUUGUAUCAUAGACUAAGCUUUCUCUGCCAGCACUCAAAAUUCUAGGAAGUUUAUUUUGUUUUAGUAGAGAGUAAUUUUUGACAAUUGAGCAGUUCAAUUAGGUUGAAGGAGGGAGUUCACGUUCAUGUAAAAAAAAAAUAGAGAGGAAAAUGUAACCGGUACACUUCUUUAUUUUUGGUUGGCUCUAUUCUAAAGUUCUGCUCCGUGAAUCGAGUGGUGUAAACAAUUUUGUUGCAAGUUCACGCUGUUUGUAGAUGAAAACUUCAGUUAUUCUAUCUGAAGCGUUGCAGGCGAGUGAGGACGCCAUGGACAUGUCAUGUGUGGAUGUAGCAGGAGAAUCCUACGCUGGUGUUGCACAUGGCUCGUCGGAAAUUCAGAUUAGACAUUGCAGCAGUUCACUUGCGCAUCGUGGGAAUGCCUGAUUCGGCAAAGACAGAAGUUCACUUACACGAUGCAGCAGGUGGUGAUGCACCAGGCCUCUUGGGGGCUUUAGGAAUGCCAAGAUGGUAUGGAUCUGCGGCAAGAGGCUCGUGUAUACCAAUAACCACGGGGUGGUCGUCAAUGGUGUCUGCUCAAACUUCCUCUGAAUAAAUGUUGUCUUCAGCAGGAAGAGUUCGCCUGCAUAUAAGUUCACUUCUUAUCUUUAUACAAUGACAUUGGUGCAGUUCACUGUAAGCCAUUGUGCGGUUCAGUUGGUUGCUGUUUGUCAAAGGUAUUUAUCCAUGGUAAGAAGGAUGGCAUGAUCCGUCCAGGCACAACAAACCAUGUGCAUAUACAGAGUGCACAAUGCAUAUCGGGGAUAUGACAUGAUUGCUGAGAUGCGAGUAAUCAAGCAGGAACGAUGAUGAACUUGUGAAGUUCAGAUAAGUAGUGAAGUAGGGAUGACUCUGAAGUUCACCACAACCAGCCGCCGCCGCAGAGCCUAUGCGGAAUACCACUGGGCCUUCGCCGUGGCUGUGCCUCUCCACAAUAGCACCCCAUUGUGGCAGUCUACACCAACACAGCAGGAGCACCAGGCGGCGCUCUGGGAGUCCACAAUGGGGCAGAUGCAGAAAACUAGAAUUUCGGAUUUAAUUAUGGAGCACUGCAGUUCACAUCGGCGUUGGCGAACAUCCGUGCACGCCAAGAUCCCGGCUAUGAAGUUCACAUCUUUUUUCAGCGUAAGCUUACUGUGUGAGGGGAAAGAAGUUCAGUAAAACACUACAGUAGCUAAUACGUUGUGGUACAAUUCAUCAUUGUUCAUUGUAUGCUGUUGGAUGCUGCUGCUGCUGAUGUGUUGGUGACACUUAGUAAAUCUUGAAGGCAAAGAAAUGGGAUGCAAGAAAGUUUCUUGCUUUUUCUGUAGCCAGCGUGAAAGUUCAGUUCACCUAAUUCCGUGAAGUUCACUCCUCCCAAGUGCUUCAGUUCAGAUUUUAACAGCUAGAUGGGGCUUGUGAAGUAUGUGCACGAGCAGGGACUUGUGAAGUAUGUGCACGAGCAGAUGGUGGUGAUGCUGUUGUACCCACAGUACACCUUCGAUUACUUAGAGAAUAGGUAAUACAUAUAUGUUCUCGAUGUGUGGCUGAUAGAAAAAUAGUAGUUCACUUCAUCAGAUUGUAAGUUAAUGCUUUAUUUUGGGGAAAUCACCCCAAUCUAUUGGGAGUUCACUUUGUGUAAUUGCCCAAAAGUUAACUGUAUGUUCGCCUACAGCAGUGUGUAAACUUUAAAUCGUGUGAUUUGCACUGAUGUUUCUGUUGGUGUGUA